ensembl:misc_RNA
CCUCCAGAGGCAGCUGUCAACAUCUGGGGGUAUGCAGUCAGGGCCAGAUGUGGGGGGAGCUUGCUCCAUGAUGACUCAGCUCUCUUGGGA